CCUACGGGAGGCAGCAGUGAGGAAUAUUGGUCAAUGGGCGAGAGCCUGAACCAGCCAAGCCGCGUGAGGGAAGAAGGUACAGUGUAUCGUAAACUUCUUUUGUAAGGGAAUAAAAUGUUCCACUAGUGCGCUGUUGUGUGUACCAUAUGAAAAAGCAUCGGCUAACUCCGUGCCAGCAGCCGCGGUAAUACGGAGGAUUCGAGCGUUAUCCGGAUUUAUUGGGUUUAAAGGGUGCGGAGGGGGGUUGGUAAGUCAGGUGUGAAAGGUCGGGGCUCAACCCUGACAUGGCCGUUGAAACUGGCAGGCUGGAGUAGAGGAGAGGUAGGCGGAAUGCGCGGUGUAGCGGUGAAAUGCUUAGAUAUCACGAAGAACCCCGAUUGCGAAGGCAGCUUACCGGAUUGAAACUGACACUGAGGCACGAAAGCGUGGGUAUCAAACAGGAUUAGAUACCCGAGUAGUC
rnacentral:rRNA from 1 species